UUUAAGUCCCUUGCCCUUUGUCCACCCCGCCCGUCGGUUAUUCCCGAAUGGAAUGGCUCAGUGAGGGCUUCCGGACUGGCCCAGGGAGGUUGGGCAACGACCCCCCCAGGGGCCCGGAAAAUUUAUCCAAAUUCGGUCAUUUAGAGGAAGUAAAAGUCGUAACAAGGUCUCCGUUUGGUGAACCAGCGGAGGGAUCAUUA
rnacentral:rRNA from 1 species